CCUACGGGUGGCAGCAGUGAGGAAUAUUGGUCAAUGGGCGUAAGCCUGAACCAGCCAAGUCGCGUGAGGGAUGAAGGUUCUAUGGAUCGUAAACCUCUUUUAUAAGGGAAUAAAGUGUGGGACGUGUCAUAUUUUGUAUGUACCUUAUGAAUAAGGAUCGGCUAACUCCGUGCCAGCAGCCGCGGUAAUACGGAGGAUCCGAGCGUUAUCCGGAUUGAUUGGGUUUAAAGGGUGCGUAGGCGGCCUUUUAAGUCAGAGGUGAAAGCCUGUGGCUCAACCAUAGAAUUGCCGUUGAAACUGGGGGGCUUGAGUAUGGUUGAGGAAGGCAGAAUGCGUGGUGUAGCGGUGAAAUGCUUAGAGAUCACGAAGAAUCCCGAUUGCGAAGGCAGCCUCCCAAGCCAUGACUGACGCUGAUGCACGAAAGCGUGGGGAUCAAACAGGAUUAGAUACCCGUGUAGUC
rnacentral:rRNA from 1 species